rnacentral:tRNA from 1 species
GAGGUGGUGGUUCAAUAGUAGAAUUCUCUUCUUCCAUGUGGGAGACCCAAGUUUGAUUCCUGGCCAGCGCA